AAUAGAUACCCGGGUAGUCCACCCGUAACGUUGGACUAGUUGUGGGACCAUUCCACGGUUUCCGUGACGCAGCUAACGCAUUAAGUUCCCCGCCUGGGGAGUACGGCCGCAAGGCUAAAACUCAAAGGAAUUGACGGGGACCCGCACAAGCGGCGGAGCAUGCGGAUUAAUUCGAUGCAACGCGAAGAACCUUACCAAGGCUUGACAUAUACGAGAACGGGCCAGAAAUGGUCAACUCUUUGGACACUCGUAAACAGGUGGUGCAUGGUUGUCGUCAGCUCGUGUCGUGAGAUGUUGGGUUAAGUCCCGCAACGAGCGCAACCCUCGUUCUAUGUUGCCAGCACGUAAUGGUGGGAACUCAUGGGAUACUGCCGGGGUCAACUCGGAGGAAGGUGGGGAUGACGUCAAAUCAUCAUGCCCCUUAUGUCUUGGGCUUCACGCAUGCUACAAUGGCCGGUACAAAGGGCUGCAAUCCGUAAGGUGGAGCGAAUCCCAAAAAGCCGGUCCAGUUCGGAUUGAGGUCUGCAACUCGACCUCAUG
rnacentral:rRNA from 1 species